GCCUUGAGCUCAGCUGGUACAACAUGAGACUCUUAAUCUCAGGGUUCUGAGCUCGAGCCCCACAGAAGAUUCU